rnacentral:SRP_RNA from 1 species
GCCGAGCUCGGUAGCGUGAGCUUGUAACCCUGAGCGGGGGCAUCAAGAUGGUCGUACAUAAACUCGAUCCGACGGGUGGGAUCUGUAGAGGCUUGACCCGGUUCGCCCGGUUCCAAGUAAGGAGUUGGGCCAUGCGAUUCGGGCGAAGGCUCGGGUUUCAUGGUCCUUAGAACGGAGGGCACCGCGUCAGGCUGGUUUCACAGAGCAGCGACAACCUCCCGCUCCCGUCGGUGGAAGGAUAACGAAUCGUUGCCUUUCUGUCCCACUGAUGCCUUAGGAUCCGAGUUCAAUCGGACGGCCAUCUUU